CAAAAAGAAGAAGAGGAAAGAAACAAUGACGUGAGAAAAAAGAGGAUGUAAGACGCUGCAGUACCUCUCAAACUCUUUGGUCUUUGUGCACUCCUGGGAACCCUUGCUGAUGACGAUGAGGAAGUCUUGUGUGUUUUUGGACCAAACAGUUCUGGGGACUCCCUAAAAGGAGCGGGUCACUAGGGACUUCCCCUGAGAGCUGCGUACGUUCAAGGGCUUUUUUCUGUUCAAGUUCACACCACCAACAGGAACACUGCUGUACACCAAUCCUGAAUGUAACUGUGUCUAUAUAAAAAGCACAUGGAAAAUGGUGUGGCAUUACCUGUGCGACUUCAUCUCUGGAGUUCCAUUUGACAGCGAGAAGGAUCUUGGGAAGGAUCUCUGGGAUGUUCAUACA